GGGUGAUUAGCUCAAUUGGUAGAGCGCCUCGCUUACAACGAGAUGGUUAAUGGUUCGAGUCCGUUAUGACCCA